rnacentral:misc_RNA from 1 species
AAGCCAUACUUCAUGGUUGGCUACUUUUGGGCUAUAAUAAUAUCGGUCUGUUUUGGCUAUGUCACUCUGCGUCAUCUGGCGACACUGAGCUCGAAGCAUGCUCAAGGCGCUCAAGGAUAGCGCAAGCACGUUUGCGGUUGGCUUGUCCACGGGAACGCGCCAGUUUCAUCCUAAAGCUCAUUCGCAAAAGUGAUGUGGGAUAUUCAGCUGGUGACAAAAAUGUUUUGUGAUAUUCCGUAGUCUUUCGUGCGUCACCGGACGAACUCUCGAAGUGGAUGGUGGAGGCGUGGAAUACAACUCCAGUCGCGGGGUUCGCGGUAUCGUUGCAAGUGCGGAAUGUCAAACUGAACGGACGGCGCACGGACGACGACGUGCUAUGCAUCGACAGUCUAGUAUGAGUUCCUUGCCAUUGGGGUCCCUGGAACAGGAUCAGUUGCGUGUGUCAACGCAAGGCC